GAUGAACGCUGGCGGCGUGCCUAAUACAUGCAAGUCGAGCGAACAGACGAGGAGCUUGCUCCUCUGACGUUAGCGGCGGACGGGUGAGUAACACGUGGAUAACCUACCUAUAAGACUGGGAUAACUUCGGGAAACCGGAGCCAAUACCGGAUAAUAUAUUGAACCGCAGGGUUCAAUAGUGAAAGACGGUUUUGCUGUCUCUUAGAGAUGGUUCCGCGCCGCAUUAGCUAGUUGGUAAGGUAACGGCUUACCAAGGCAACGAUGCGUAGCCGACCUGAGAGGGUGAUCGGCCACACUGGAACUGAGACACGGUCCAGACUCCUACGGGAGGCAGCAGUGGGGAAUCUUCCGCAAUGGGCGAAAGCCUGACGGAGCAACGCCGCGUGAGUGAUGAAGGUCUUCGGAUCGUAAAGCUCUGUUAUUGGGGAAGAACAAAUGUGUGUGUAACUAUGCACGUCUUGACGGUACCUAAUCAGAAAGCCACGGCUAACUACGUG
rnacentral:rRNA from 1 species